UUAUGGCCAUAUCAUGUUGAAACAUAAGUUCCUGUAUGACCACUGAAGUUAAGCAACAUCAAGCCUGGACAGUAUCUAGAUGGGUGACCACUUGAAAAUACCAGGUGCUGUAAG